rnacentral:tRNA from 11 species
GGUGUAGCUCAGUGGUUAGAGCGUCUGCCUUGUAAGCAGUGGGAUACCGAUGAAAAUUUGUAGCAAAUGCAAAGCACUAAAACCUGCUUCCGAUUUCCA